rnacentral:misc_RNA from 1 species
UGGAUAUGAAUUCUUUGCAGACAGACAGUUGGUUACUAUAUUCUCAGCACCAAACUACUGUGGAGAGUUUAACAAUGCAGGUGCACUCAUGUGCGUCAAUGAAAGUUUGCUCUGCUCAUUUCAGAUUCUCAAGCCCUGGAAAGGAAAAGCAGAACAACUGGAAUAGUUCCUGUGCGACAGGGAAGCACCUCUUCUACACCAUAGUCAAAUUAGCUAGUGCUCUGUCUCUUUUGACAUGUACAAUAUUCAUCUUCCAAUUCAAAACAAGCCUCUGUAUCAUAGGUUACUUCAUGUAAUCGAGAUGAUUUUAGAAAGAAAGCUGUGUAGUGUAUAUAAUCCCUUAUAUGUGCAACUGUUGGUUUGUACCUUUGAAACAAACAAGUGGGUGCAUAUUCCCUCUAUUUGUUCCUCCAAGUUGAUCACCUGCUUACAGCAUUCUCGGUGCAAAAGCUUCCAAG